GGCUUGCACAUGCUCAUCGAAUAUGGCUUUCUUGAAAGAACUUCCCAUCUUCAUUUCGUCGGAAAAAGAGUUUUAAAUAAACAGUUUGACUAAAUGAGCAACUCCUUCCCCUCCAAACCCCAAAAAGUAAAACAAAAAGGCAUAUAGAACUCUUUAAGGGCACGACUAACUACAGCCUAUGACAACCAAUAUGAAGAAUGUGCUAGAGCAGCAAGGACUCCUCACGACGCUGUAACAGAAGAUGUAUACAGGUAAUUAAGAAAAGUUAAAAGCAGAUAUGACAAGUGCACAUUUGCUCAACUCUUAAACCUAAGUUAAAGCAUAGUUUUCUCCAUCACUCCUUUCAGAAGUCCCCUUACAAAUCAAUCUACUUGCAGAAGCAAUUAUGAGUUACCAAUGGAGGAAAUUAAAGAUGGUUACUAAGACUACACAAACAAAUUUAAGAGUGUAAGACCCAGUUACCGAAUGUUGGAGCCACAUUUAGAAAAGAUCAUGGCAUAAUUUUGUUAUCAUCAUUGUUUAUAUCAUAUUUGAUUAGUUAAUAUCGGUUUACUUAAGGAUAAGACUGUAACUUUAAUACCCUAUAUCUAUAAAUAUAGCGACACCUGUUAUAUGUUGUA